rnacentral:rRNA from 1 species
AUUGAACGCUAGCGGGAUGCUUUACACAUGCAAGUCGAACGGCAGCGCGGACUUCGGUCUGGCGGCGAGUGGCGAACGGGUGAGUAAUGUAUCGGAACGUGCCCAGUAGCGGGGGAUAACUACGCGAAAGCGUAGCUAAUACCGCAUACGCCCUACGGGGGAAAGCAGGGGAUCGUAAGACCUUGCACUAUUGGAGCGGCCGAUAUCGGAUUAGCUAGUUGGUGAGGUAACGGCUCACCAAGGCGACGAUCCGAAGCUGGUUUGAGAGGACGACCAGCCACACUGGGACUGAGACACGGCCCAGACUCCUACGGGAGGCAGCAGUGGGGAAUUUUGGACAAUGGGGGCAACCCUGAUCCAGCCAUCCCGCGUGUGCGAUGAAGGCCUUCGGGUUGUAAAGCACUUUUGGCAGGAAAGAAACGUCGCGGGCUAAUACCCCGUGGAACUGACGGUACCUGCAGAAUAAGCACCGGCUAACUACGUG